rnacentral:rRNA from 1 species
GAUGAACGCUGGCGGCGUGCCUAAUACAUGCAAGUCGAGCGGACGGACGAGAAGCUUGCUUCUCUGAUGUUAGCGGCGGACGGGUGAGUAACACGUGGAUAACCUACCUAUAAGACUGGGAUAACUUCGGGGAACCGGAGCUAAUACCGGAUGAUAUUUUGAACCGCAUGGUUCAAAAGUGAAAGACGGUCUUGCUGUCACUUAUAGAUGGAUCCGCGCUGCAUUAGCUAGUUGGUAAGGUAACGGCUUACCAAGGCAACGAUGCAUAGCCGACCUGAGAGGGUCAUCGGCCACACGAGAACUGAGGCACGGUCCAGACUCCUACGGGAGGCAGCAGUAGGGAAUCUUCCGCAAUGCGCGAAAGCCUGACGGAGCAACGCCGCGUGAGUGAUGAAGGUCUUCGGAUCGUAAAACUCUGUUAUUAGGGAAGAACAUAUGUGUAAGUAACUGUGCACAUCUUGACGGUACCUAAUCAGAAAGCCACGGCUAACUACGUG